GAUGAACGCUGGCGGCGUGCCUAAUACAUGCAAGUCGAGCGAACAGACGAGGAGCUUGCUCCUCUGACGUUAGCGGCGGACGGGUGAGUAACACGUGGAUAACCUACCUAUAAGACUGGGAUAACUUCGGGAAACCGGAGCUAAUACCGGAUAAUAUAUUGAACCGCAUGGUUCAAUAGUGAAAGACGGUUUUGCUGUCACUUAUAGAUUGAUCCGCGCCGCAUUAGCUAGUUGGUAAGGUAACGGCUUACCAAGGCAACGAUGCGUAGCCGACCUGAGAGGGUGAUCGCCCACACUGGAACUGAGACACGGUCCAGACUCCUACGGGAGGCCGCAGUAGGGAAUCUUCCGCAAUGGGCGAAAGCCUGACGGAGCAACGCCGCGUGAGUGAUGAAGGUCUUCGGAUCGUAAAACUCUGUUAUUAGGGAAGAACAAAUGUGUAAGUAACUAUGCACGUCUUGACGGUACCUAAUCAGAAAGCCACGGCUAACUACGUG
rnacentral:rRNA from 1 species